rnacentral:lncRNA from 1 species
UGUUAGCCUUUGAGGAGAGAGGAAGUCUCCAGGUGGCUAACAGAGAAGCUGGGAAGAUUCUCUCGUCCUCAAGGAGCUCAAGCCUGAGGGAGAAAAGCACCUAAACCAGGAAGGAGAUGUGAAGUCAUGAGACUGGCUGACUCGUAGAGGAUAAGGGUCUCCUGGCCUGAACCACCACAGAACCAGAUUCAUUAAUCUGAAAAGGAGGCAAAAAAUUAUUGGAGGGGCAGUGGAAUUUCACCAGGAACAAGAGACAGGGCCAACUUGGAAGGAAGUCUUGACAGGCUGCGUAGCAUCUUUUGAAACCAACCCAAUUACAUCCAGUACCGGCAAUUUUAUAGGUGACUAAAUGUAUACAUAUGGUGUGUUCGCUGCACUCCUGCUGAACUUAACAAGAUGUUCUAACAGUCUCCAUUUGCAGUGACUCAAUCGACUAAUACUUGCUAAUACACGUUCACAUUAUUAGGGAACCUAAAUGUUAGAGGGACCAAAAAUCUCG